AGGCGGAUUCUUAACCACUGCGCCACCAGGGAAGCCCCGGGAGCAUCUCUUAAGGAGGUGGACAAGUCUUUGUAAACUGCCUUCAGUGGGUGCAGAUGAACAGGGCCCAGAUGCAAGAUGUUGACUGACGGGUAGCAGGAUACAGGGAAAGAAGUGGAAGAAGGUAAAAAGGAAACAGGAAGCAGUGAUAAUGUGUGGUCUGAGGUAAUGGGCUGUUUAUACUCAGAGCCUUCCAAAGGCUGAGAAGACACUGAUGUUAACAGUUGUUGAUGAGUGACUGGGAAAGGCUGAACAUUUUGAUUUAAACUCUGUUAUGAGGGACCUAUGACCCUGUACGUCAGAGUUUUUCAUGUGAGCUGGAAGCACCCAGAGCAGGACUGAGAUCACACUCUGUGCAAGCCCAGCACCUGGCUGAAAACAUUGUCCGGUGGUGAUGUAAGGGAGGUGCUGCAGAAAAUGAGUUGGAAGCUUUAAGGAGACACAUCUGUACCUGUUGCAGGAAUGAAGAUUCUAGCCCCAGAGGCCUUAAAGCCAGCAAGCGAGGUCUGGAGGGAGGACUCCAUUUGAAUCUGGAAGGGUGACACAGUAAUCCCUUCACCUCCCUAACUGGGGACAUUAAAGUAGACCUUCCCUUUCAGUCUUCUCUUUGUUUAUCAGGAAUAAAGUGUGGGGAGAUCAGGAUAGGCUCCACAUGUGUCCAGAGGGCUCUUAGCCAUCCUCAGAGCUCCGCUGAGUGUGCCUUAAAUUAAAGAGAGUACGGGACGUGAACUCAUAGGGGUGAGGUCAUCCAGGGCCUCUUGGAUAAACCCCUGAGUUGUCACCAGAAGGCUGUGACUCAGCUCUGAGAUCUGCUGAAUCAGAGACGAUUGUCUCCUUGCAGGCACCUGUAGCAAUUGCAGCAAGAAACAGGAAGGGACUGAAUUCUAUUUCUGUUGAUCCCAUCCUUCAUGUCCCACCACCCCAUCCGCUAGCCCACAAUUCACUUUCUCUUUCCCCUUCGAGUUACCUCCCAAAUCGUUCUUCCUCCACCUUGUAUUCUCUCUCCCUAGAGAUGCCUACUUGCUUAACUCUGUUUUGGAGUUCUGUGUAUGCUUCAUCCUCCGAUUAGAUCUUAUGCUGAUCUAGAGGAGUGUCCAAGAAUGUCUAUGCUUAGUGUGUACCUCAGUGUGUGUGUGAAUAUGUGUAUUUGUGUGAUUUAGAUAAGUAGGUAACCGGGACUUAAACCAAAAUCAUGACACUAAACAUAAACAUGCUGCUUUGCUAAACUAAGGCAAACCUGAAAGUUAAACUUUCCUUGAGCCAAAAUGUUUAGAAAAAAAUGGCUUGGUUCAACUUAAGACAAGGCAAUAGAAUUUUUCAAAAAUCACUUAAUCUUUUAAGAAGAUAAUAUAUUUAUAAGAUUCAAAAUUAAAUAAAUACAUACCCAUAAAUAUGUAUUUUCUAUCCCUGUCUUCCAUGUGUCCAAUUCCUCUUCACCUUCCCAAACUGGUAACCAUGUUAACAUUUCCUGUGGAUUCCUCCAGAGAUUUUAAGUACUAUACAAGUAAAUACAAAUUUACAAUGCAAUCUCUUCCUUUCUAUACAAAUGAGAGCAUGCUAUGCAUUUUACACUGCAUCUUACUUUUUUUUUCCCACUUUAUAAUCCAUCUUGGAAAUCUUUUAAAUCACAAGAAAGGCCCUCGUUCUCUUUUUACAACUACAGAGUAUUCUAUUGAAUGGAUGUAUUAUCAUAAUGGGCUUAACCAACCUCUUACUGGUAGACAUUUAUUUUUAUUUAUUUAUUUACUUAUUUUAGUUCAUAGAUUUUCUUUCUUUUUUUUAAAUUUUUUGGCUGCGUUGGGUCUUCGUUGCUGCGUGCGGGCUUUCUCUACUUGCAGUGAGCGGGGGCUUCUCUUCGUUGUGGUGCGCGGGCUUCUCACCGCAGUGGUUUCUCUUGUAGAGCACGGGCUCUAGGCAUGCGGGCUUCAGUAGUUGUGGCUCGCGGGCUCUAGAGCACAGGCUCAGUAGUUGUGGUGCACGAGCUUAGUUGAUCCACAGCAUGUGGGAUCUUCCCGGGCCAACAAUGUCCCGGCUCGAACCCGGGUCCCCUGUAUUGGCAGGCAGAUUCCCAACCACUGUGCCACCAGGGAAGUCCUGGUAGACAUUUAACUUGUUGCCAAUUUCUUGCAGUAGCAAACAGUAUUCCAAUGAAUUACGAAUUUUUUUUUUACUUUUUUUAAAAAAAUAUAUUUUAUUUUAUUUAUUUGGUUGUGCCCUGUCAGUUGUGGCAGACGGGCUCCUUAGUUGUGGCAUGCAUGUGGGAUCUAGCUCCCUGACCAGGGAUUGAACCCAGGUCCCCUGCAUUGAGAGCAUGGAGUCUUAACCACUGCGCCACCAGGGAAGUCCCUUUUUUUUUACAUUUUAAAGCACUAUUCAUUUUAUACUUCAAGGUACCAUGUCGCUUGUUUAUUUAUUUAUUUAUUUUUGGAGUAAACUUGCUUUACGAUGUUGUGUUAGUUUCUGCUGUACAAUGAAGUGAAUCAGCUAUGUGUAUACCUAUAUCCCCUCCCUCUCGGACCUCCCUCCCACCAAUUCUGAUGGUUAUUACUAAAUUGCCCACCUGCAGGUGGCACAGACUGACACUUGCAACAGCAGUGUAGGAGAAUGUCCAUUUCCCCCUCCCCUGCCAACACCGUACAUUAAUACAUCAUAAUUUUAAUACCUAGGGUGGUUUUUUCCUAGCAACAAAGCUUGGUGUUUUCACUGUUUGUUUCAUGUUGGCUUGUGGGAAGGGAUAGGGUGGCCUGGCUCUGGGCUUGACCAGUGGGGGAGGGGAGGAUAGCUGGCACUGUCCCCAGGGAGAGAGCCAGGAGCCUUGGCUGGAGACAAAGGCACCUCAAGAAUCUCACCUGGUUCUUUGCUUUCUCCCUGGCAAGCCUUGCCAGGGAGACUUUUUUUCUUACUAAUUUAAUAGUGAAAAUGGUAUUUCAUUGUACUUUGAAUUUAUGUUGCUCUUAAUAUAAGAGAGGUUGCUAUUCAUGUAUUUAAAAGUUGCUUGUAUCUCCUUUAUCUGUGAACUGUUUCUUAACAUUUUUGCCCAGUUUUUUUUCUGGGUAAUUGGGUUUUUUCUUAUUGACCUAUAGGAGCUCUUAAAAUAUUAAAGACAUUAAACUUUGUCUGUGAAAUGAAUUAUAAACAACUUGUUCCCAGUUUGCCAUUUGCCUUUUUACUUUGCUCAUUGCCAAGCAACGAUUUUUAUUUUUAUGGAAUUUAAGUGUUAAAUCUUUUACUUUAUGCCAUCUAGAUUUUAUAUCACAGUUAGAAGGUCUUUUCUACUCUGAAUUUAUAUAGGAGCUUUCUUUAUAGGUUUUAUUUUUUACCUUUCUUAUUUAAUUCAUUUGGAAUGGAUCCUAGU